CCUACGGGCGGCAGCAGUGGGGAAUAUUGCACAAUGGGCGCAAGCCUGAUGCAACGACGCCGCGUGCGGGAUGGAGGCCUUCGGGUUGUAAACCGCUUUUGUUCAAGGGCAAGGCACGGUCUUUGGCCGUGUUGAGUGGAUUGUUCGAAUAAGCACCGGCUAACUACGUGCCAGCAGCCGCGGUAAUACGUAGGGUGCAAGCGUUAUCCGGAUUUAUUGGGUUUAAAGGGUGCGUAGGCGGAAUGCCAAGUCAGCGGUAAAAUCGCGGGGCUCAACCUCGCUCCGCCGUUGAAACUGGCGUUCGUGAGUGGGCGAGAAGUAUGCGGAAUGCGUGGUGUAGCGGUGAAAUGCAUAGAUAUCACGCAGAACUCCGAUUGCGAAGGCAGCAUACCGGCGCCCAACUGACGCUGAAGCACGAAAGCGUGGGUAUCGAACAGGAUUAGAUACCCCUGUAGUC
rnacentral:rRNA from 1 species